rnacentral:rRNA from 1 species
AGUGAACGCUGGCGGCAGGCUUAACACAUGCAAGUCGAGCGGGCAUCCUUGUGGUGUCAGCGGCAGACGGGUGAGUAACGCGUGGGAACGUGCCCUUCGGUUCGGAAUAACUCAGGGAAACUUGAGCUAAUACCGGAUACGCCCUUUUGGGGAAAGGUUUACUGCCGAAGGAUCGGCCCGCGUCUGAUUAGCUAGUUGGUGAGGUUACGGCUCACCAAGGCGACGAUCAGUAGCUGGUCUGAGAGGAUGAUCAGCCACACUGGGACUGAGACACGGCCCAGACUCCUACGGGAGGCAGCAGUGGGGAAUAUUGGACAAUGGGGGCAACCCUGAUCCAGCCAUGCCGCGUGAGUGAUAACAGCCUUAGGGUUGUAAAGCUCUUUUCUCCGGGACGAUAAUGACGGUACCGGAGGAAUAAGCCCCGGCUAACUUCGUG